CCCAAUCACUGCCUAUCAGUGCGAAAUAAACCUGCCCCCAAGCCCUGGGUGACUUUUCAGUGUUUCUGCUUGCUAUUGCAUGAGUUUCCAAGAAGGUUCAAUCCAUCUUGUCUAGAGAUAUCAAGAAAUGCCUCCUGGAGAAGAAAUGCAGAGAUGCAGGAUGGGAAGGUGUGCCUCGAGACCCAGAGUGGAUGAAAGAUGCCAGGCAGCAGUCAAAACAGGAUCUAUAGGACCAAGCUCAGCCGACUCUCUGUGGCAGAGGAGCAGAGCCAAGUCAGCGUGUCCAUGUGGGGCUGCAGGGUCCUCUGUGUUGGUGGGAAGAAUCAAAGCCCGUUAUGUGAGGUCCAGAAGAGCAGAGACGUCACUGGCCUUGCUCCCUGUGUGUUCCCGUGUCUGGAAGAGUGCUGGUGCAGAGCUGGUGCUCUGGAAGCUUUUGUGAGCGAACGCCUAAGUGCUCAGUAUCCAUUCAUCUUUGGGAUGUCGAUAGGGUAUCCUAUUGGGUAUUGAGGAGCCUUCACUGAGGGCAUUCCUCCUCCAUGCAGCCCUUCACACUGUGAUCUCAUGUAGCACAUAAGGUAAGAAGAAGGUGCAUAGAAAAUCCACAGCUCACCCUUGCUGCAGGCAGUACAGUCAAUGAAAUGAAUAGCUGACCAGAACGCCAGCUCUCUCCUUUCCCUACUGAGCUACACAAGUGACCUUGCACGCCUUUAAAUGCAUGUGCUAAGCCUCCUAUUAGCAAGAUUGCACAUGCAAGUACUGCUGGCUGGGCAGGUGCAGGUUCAGGUGGGCAGGUGCAGGUGGCCUCCACAGCCCCACCUGCGGCACCCCACCUGUGGGCUGAAGCACACCUGGCAAGUCUGCUCUGGAAAGGAGAGGGGACACAUGUUGCGUGUCAUAGGUCCCUGGAUUCCAAAAGAAGAUGGGAUGGAAGUGUCCAUUGUUUUAUUAAUUCCUAAUAUAAGCAAUAUAUUAGGAAUAUAUUGCCCCACAAGGGCAUUCAAAACGCUUAAAAUUUAGUAAAUUUGUAAAUAAGUAUCACGUCAUACUUUCAUUUCUAAAUAGACAGUACACCUCCUGGAUCAUAGUAGGUUCCUAAUAGGUAUUAGGCGAAUGAAUCUGUGGACUUUCUGUGUGUAUCCUGGUGAAGAGCAGCAGUGCUCAUAAGGAAGAACAAUCUCAUAUUGUCCACAUAGCAGAAUAAUGGCUAAUGCUUCGUAAAGCUCCCCCACCUGUGGCUUUCAAGUGCCCACAUGCACUUACCUUACUCAUCUUAACUCUCAGGGGUAGCACACCAGGCUCCCACAGUAACAGGCAAAAGUGCUAAAGCAGACUAGCUACCUGGGCUGGGGAAGGCCUCAGAGCUGUCUCUGGGCAGAGGCAGAAGCACCGCGCGAGCUUCGCAGCUGGCAGGCUGUCCUGGCCAACAGCCUGUGCCUUGUCCCCUCUCUCUGCAUUCGGUCAGACCUCUACCUCUGUGAUAGGAAAGCUUGGAGUGGACCAAAAAAGGUAUCUCAGUGCCGCACUCUCCUGGCACACAGUAUCCUAAACUCCCCACACACUUCGGAGAGGGUAUGAGGAGAUUUCCGGGUUGAACCUAGAACCUUGAACAUGCCAGGCCAGUCCUCUACCACCAAGCCACACUGUAGCCCUGAUACAGUUUCGGAGACACACCUGGAAGCUGCUUUUAUACACAGCACUGAGAAGACAGACUUUGCCUAGAGAAGCAGUAGCAUCCAAGGGAAUUUCUUUUUCUUUUCUUUUUUCAAUCAAGAAGCAAUUUGUUAUAUCAAGGCCAGGCCAUUUGAAGUGCUGAAAACCCCUCGUUCUCCAAGGUAUUCCUGGCAGAAGGUGCCUGCAGAUCUCAGGAGAGAAACUGCAGUUGUUAAUCUGCUGCUGCCCUGCGGAAUGUGAAUUGGCAGGACCAGAGGUCAGGAUGACAGGGGCUCCCUCUCAGAGUCGUUACCAGGCAGCUUGUGUUACUCAGGAGAGCUUUUAUUGUGCUCUUGCCUGUGAUGGCGCCCCUGGUCCUGGUCCCAGGUAUGUGUGAGCCAUGGAGAAGCAGUCCUUCAGCAGCAGUGUUAAAUGCCAUUCUAAAAUAAGAUGGCUCAAUUUUGAUGUGCAAACCAGCUGGGAAGCACAGGCAGCUCUGCCAUUGGCCCAGCCAUCCAGUGUGGAGGAAAAGACUUCAUCCACUGUGCGAACCCAGUCUCAGGAGCAGAGUCUCUAUCGAUCACAUCUCUGAGAGGGGAGAAGUCCCUAGGUUACACCUUUGGACCGCUGUCAUGUCCCAGGUGAUUUUCCCCUCGGUAUUCCCACCUUGCUGCCUUCCAUUUCCAUCAUUGCAAGGCAGUAUAAGAUGACCUCAUUUUCCUUUAUGUCUGCCAAGUCUUUAUGCACAUCAAAGAAUGGUGAGGCCAAAGAUCAUUCUAGAAAUUAUGAUGCUCAGUUAAAAAGUGGGAAUUUCUACCAAAGAGAAGGAGGCGGGAGGUGCAGAAUGAAGGCAUUGGAGGAAUAAAUGUCUGUAUUUAUCUCCUAACACACACAGCCGUAGCAAACAGGACUGUUCCACCCAUGUCCCUGAUUCUUUUAUGCACAUUUUAGUGCUGCAUAGCCUAACUUCAGGCAUACCCUCCCCCCAUCCCCCGGUCUGGAUGAUGGAAGGUUAUGGCAUGGGCAGGCAGCACAGCCAUACUUACUGUCCUCGCUGCCUCGUCCCACCAUCCAGCUGACCCCAGGUUCCAUCCUGCCGUUCUGCUUGAGGAUGUACUGGACUGUACAGCAGCUGCGCACAGCCUUACUCAUUUGGAGGCCCACAGCAUGUCACAUAGUGCGUCUGCACCACACAACUCUGUAAAUGUUGGGGAAUAAGACACGAAUGAAAUGCUCUAGAAAAGGAGGGUGUGGGGGGAGGAGAAGGGGAGAUCUGUUGUGUUUAGUAAAAAUAAACUAAGCUGGGGGCUGGGGAUUUAGCUCAG